GUUUCAUAUGUGGACGGAUCACACGCUCUCAACUCUUGGACUGUGUACUUUAUCUAAAGAAUGUAAUAAGAAAAUUAUUUGGGGUUUUAAGAUUUAUUUCCAAAACCUGUAGAAAACAAGAUAUAACGUGUGUCUCUAUCAGGCUGCUGUCUCUGGGAAUUAUGUCUCGACAAAAGCAGAAUUUGCUGUGGCUGAUGAUCAUCUGUUGUGCUACGUGCCAGAUAACAAGUUCAGAAAACUCGACAGAUCAGUGUUUCUGGAACAGCAGUAGCUCAACACAAGUUAUUGAAUGGACCUGUCCAUCAGUUGAUGAAAAAAUGAAUCAGGAAGAUGAGGAUGAAGGUGUUGAACCCUCAGAAGCAUCAGACGCCUUGGACGAACUGGAGUCUGACAUGGAAGAAAUGGAAAAUAACAAUAUAAGCAAUGCAUCAUAUCAUCAAAUCAGAACACGAUAAACGUAAGGCCUGAGAAAGAUUACAGCAUGUCUAAGUUAGGAUUCUUUAUUAAUCAAGGUACAUUUUCUUUUCACAGGAUGUUGACUGUCAAAGUAUCCCAAAUACAAACUUUUCAUGGGCUGUAAAGAUUCCCAAGGAAGCAGUGUAUAAAUCACGACGGGAAAACAAUGGAUGUGCGUUUGUUGCAGUUCUACGGUUCAUAAAUAUGAGAAACAAGGUACUCACAAU
ensembl:lncRNA